AGUGAACGCUGGCGGUAGGCCUAACACAUGCAAGUCGAACGGCAGCACAGGAGAGCUUGCUCUCUGGGUGGCGAGUGGCGGACGGGUGAGGAAUACAUCGGAAUCUACUUUUUCGUGGGGGAUAACGUAGGGAAACUUACGCUAAUACCGCAUACGACCUACGGGUGAAAGCAGGGGACCUUCGGGCCUUGCGCGAUUGAAUGAGCCGAUGUCGGAUUAGCUAGUUGGCGGGGUAAAGGCCCACCAAGGCGACGAUCCGUAGCUGGUCUGAGAGGAUGAUCAGCCACACUGGAACUGAGACACGGCCCAGACUCCUACGGGAGGCAGCAGUGGGGAAUAUUGGACAAUGGGCGCAAGCCUGAUCCAGCCGUACCGCGUGGGUGAAGAAGGCCUUCGGGUUGUAAAGCCCUUUUGUUGGGAAAGAAAUCCAGCUGGCUAAUACCCGGUUGGGAUGACGGUACCCAAAGAAUAAGCACCAGCUAACUUCGUGCCAGCCGCCGCCGUAA
rnacentral:rRNA from 1 species